rnacentral:rRNA from 1 species
CGGGGCGCAGCAGGCGCGAAACCUCCGCAAUGUGAGAAAUCGCGACGGGGGGAUUCCAAGUGCCAUUCUUAACGGGAUGGCUUUUCUUUAGUGUAAAAAGCUUUUGGAAUAAGAGCUGGGCAAGACCGGUGCCAGCCGCCGCGGUAAUUCAAGGGC